rnacentral:rRNA from 1 species
CACGUAGGAGGCGAGCGUUGUCCGGAAUCAUUGGGCGUAAAGAGCGCGCAGGCGGCUUGGCAAGUCGGGCGUGAAAUCCCGGGGCUCAACCCCGGGACUGCAUUCGAUACUGUCAGGCUAGAGGUAGGUAGGGGAGAUCGGAAUUCCUGGUGUAGCGGUGAAAUGCGCAGAUAUCAGGAGGAACACCGGUGGCGAAGGCGGAUUUCUGGGCCUUACCUGACGCUCAGGCGCGAAAGCUAGGGGAGCGAACAGG